rnacentral:lncRNA from 1 species
CGAGGAACAAGGGAGGUGCUGCAGUUGGCGGUCGGGCUAGAGAAGAGAGGCGCCUGCGCUUGCGAGCUGGGCUUGUGAGUGGGGCUGCCGAGAGGGCAGGCGUGGGGCGAGGCCAAAGGACUGAACCCGCAGGAGCGUCACGGGCGCCGGGGCGGCUGCCGACGGCGGGACUGGGUCAGUGAGAAGCCCGUGGGCCCCCGCCCUGCCUGCUACUCCCAUCCCCACCUGCGCGCUCCCCAUGGGGGACGACCCCCGAUUGGGUCCGAUGCCUACCCUCGGGGUGGAGCCGGCAGGUUUUCUAUCAGAUGUUCCACGUAAUAAUGCUGGAGUUAAGAAGUUUCCAUUAUUUUGCUCCAAACCAGAAGACUCUGUUCCCUGUAUAUAGAAUAGGAGUAAUAUUUGAAAACAACUGGCUGAUGUUUAAAACUGAAGAUUGUCAUGAUUGUUUAUCCUAAUCCCAAUGCUGAAGUAAGAUUGUCUUGGAAAUACUAAGUUGGCCAUGGCUCUAAAAGGACAAGAAGAUUAUAUUUAUCUUUUCAAGGAUUCAACACAUCCAGUGGAUUUUCUGGAUGCAUUCAGAACAUUUUACUUGGAUGGAUUAUUUACUGAUAUUACUCUUCAGUGUCCUUCAGGCAUAAUUUUCCAUUGUCACCGAGCCGUUUUAGCUGCUUGCAGCAAUUAUUUUAAGGCAAUGUUCACAGCUGACAUG